CUGCUUCAUUUUUCUCUUCUGUUGAGAUCUUCUACUGAUGACAAAAAAAUCCAUACAAGUUUAAAAGGGCACUCGAGUGUACUGUUCCAAAGUUCUGUCAGCAACUAAGAGUCUUUCGCAAGAACGAAAGAGUUAUCAGGUUAAGAGACAAUCAAGAAAAAGAAAAGACUAAACUACAAACAAGAAGAUGGAUAGUUCUCUGUAGCAAACAUAGUAAAGGAGCAAAAUUGUACACAAUCUAAAAACAAGUUGUAUCCUUAUUUUUUUUAGGAUUCUCCCUCUCAUGUUACGCUUUAAUGUUUUGUUGAUGUAGUCUUGAAAAAGUUA